GAUGAACGCUAGCUACAGGCUUAACACAUGCAAGUCGAGGGGUAACGAGAGGGAAGCUUGCUUUCCUUGUCGACGACCGGCGCACGGGUGAGUAACGCGUAUCCAACCUGCCCCCAACUAGGGAAUAACCUUGCGAAAGUAAGACUAAUACCCUAUAAUUUCCUCAGAUGUCAUCUGACGAGGAAUAAGGAUUUAUCGGUUGUGGAUGGGGAUGCGUCUGAUUAGCUUGUUGGCGGGGUAACGGCCCACCAAGGCAACGAUCAGUAGGGGUUCUGAGAGGAAGGUCCCCCACAAUGGAACUGAGACACGGUCCAAACUCCUACGGGAGGCAGCAGUGAGGAAUAUUGGGCAAUGGGCGGAAGCAUGAAACAGCCAAGUAGAGUGCAGGAUGACGGCACUAUGGGUUGUAAACUGCCUUUAUACAGGAAUAAAGUUAGCCACGUGUGGUUAUUUGUAGGUACUGUAUGAAUAAGGACCGGCUAAUUCCGUGCCAGCAGCAGCCGCGG
rnacentral:rRNA from 1 species